rnacentral:rRNA from 1 species
AACGAACGCUGGCGGCAUGCCUAACACAUGCAAGUCGAACGAGAUCUUCGGGUCUAGUGGCGCACGGGUGCGUAACGCGUGGGAAUCUGCCCUUUGGUUCGGAAUAACAGUUGGAAACGACUGCUAAUACCGGAUGAUGACGAAAGUCCAAAGAUUUAUCGCCAUAGGAUGAGCCCGCGUGGGAUUAGCUAGUUGGUGUGGUAAAGGCGCACCAAGGCGACGAUCCUUAGCUGGUCUGAGAGGAUGAUCAGCCACACUGGGACUGAGACACGGCCCAGACUCCUACGGGAGGCAGCAGUGGGGAAUAUUGGACAAUGGGCGAAAGCCUGAUCCAGCAAUGCCGCGUGAGUGAUGAAGGCCUUAGGGUUGUAAAGCUCUUUUACCCGGGAUGAUAAUGACAGUACCGGGAGAAUAAGCUCCGGCUAACUCCGUGCCAGCCGCCGCUGUAA